UUUAAAGAGAGUUUGAUCCUGGCUCAGGACGAACGCUGGCGGCGUGCCUAAUACAUGCAAGUCGAACGAACGGAGGAAGAGCUUGCUCUUCCAAAGUUAGUGGCGGACGGGUGAGUAACACGUGGGCAACCUGCCUGUAAGUUGGGGAUAACUCCGGGAAACCGGGGCUAAUACCGAAUGAUAAAGUGUGGCGCAUGCCACGCUUUUGAAAGAUGGUUUCGGCUAUCGCUUACAGAUGGGCCCGCGGUGCAUUAGCUAGUUGGUAGGGUAAUGGCCUACCAAGGCAACGAUGCAUAGCCGACCUGAGAGGGUGAUCGGCCACACUGGGACUGAGACACGGCCCAGACUCCUACGGGAGGCAGCAGUAGGGAAUCUUCCGCAAUGGACGAAAGUCUGACGGAGCAACGCCGCGUGUAUGAAGAAGGUUUUCGGAUCGUAAAGUACUGUUGUUAGAGAAGAACAAGGAUAAGAGUAACUGCUUGUCCCUUGACGGUAUCUAACCAGAAAGCCACGGCUAACUACGUGCCAGCAGCCGCGGUAAUACGUAGGUGGCAAGCGUUGUCCGGAUUUAUUGGGCGUAAAGCGCGCGCAGGCGGUCUUUUAAGUCUGAUGUGAAAGCCCCCGGCUUAACCGGGGAGGGUCAU
rnacentral:rRNA from 1 species